GACGAACGCUGGCGGCGUGCUUAACACAUGCAAGUCGAACGGAAAGGCCCUGCUUUUGUGGGGUGCUCGAGUGGCGAACGGGUGAGUAACACGUGAGUAACCUGCCCUUGACUUUGGGAUAACUUCAGGAAACUGGGGCUAAUACCGGAUAGGAGCUCCUGCUGCAUGGUGGGGGUUGGAAAGUUUCGGCGGUUGGGGAUGGACUCGCGGCUUAUCAGCUUGUUGGUGGGGUAGUGGCUUACCAAGGCUUUGAAGGGUAGCCGGCCUGAGAGGGUGACCGGCCACAUGGGGACUGAGAUACGGCCCAGACUCCUACGGGAGGCAGCAGUGGGGAAUAUUGCACAAUGGGCGGAAGCCUGAUGCAGCAACGCCGCGUGCGGGAUGACGGCCUUCGGGUUGUAAACCGCUUUCGCCUGUGACGAAGCGUGAGUGACGGUAAUGGGUAAAGAAGCACCGGCUAACUACGUG
rnacentral:rRNA from 1 species